rnacentral:tRNA from 1 species
GGGAUGUAGCUCAAUGGUAGAGUGUUUGCCUAGCAUACACAAGUCCUUGGGUUCCAUCCCCAGCACUACCA